GAGGGUAUAGCUCAGUGGCAAAGUGCAUGUCUAGCAUGCACGAGGUCCUGAGUUCAAUCCCCAGUACCUCCG
rnacentral:tRNA from 1 species